ACCAUGAGAGCCUCCCUCUCCUUCUUCUCCCCAACCCUAGAUGGUUUUCUCUCCUCUUCCUCUUCCUCCAUUGCUAAGAUUGGAUCUUGAUGCAGGUGCAUGUUGGUCCAAGCAUGGAGAAGCUUGAGCUAUCCUCAGAUCUGAAGUUCUUGAGCAAAGUUCGUCCAAAUCCUUGCAGUAAUUUCUGCUAUCUUGCUGUUUCAGAUUCUGGUACGAACUUGUAAAAUCCACCAAAUCUCGUGCGCAGAUCCAAAUCAAGUGAUUCAAAGUUCCGCAGAUAGAUACAGAAAAGAUCUACAACUUGGCGUUGGUCUCAUCCUCAAAUUCGUUACGGAUUGUCCGUGGUCAAGAUCUGGUCAGAUCUGACUUUGUCGAAUUAAACCAGGAGCUUGGGAAUGAAUUUUUGAAUGAAACCAAUUGGGGGAUGUUUGGUUUAUACCAUGGUGAUAACCGAGAGAGGCAAUUGCUAAGUUGUGAUACUCUCAUACCUUUACUAGACGCGAGCAAUUCCGGAGAAGAAGAAGAAGUGGAAUUGGACAAGGAUUUUAUUUAUAUUGUUGGGAUUCUUAUAUUGAUAGAGUUGAAGAAGUACAGGGACAAAUAAGCCAAGGCAAGCCAUUUACUUUGAUCCAUCGUUCUCUAUGUUCUUGAUUGAGAUCUUGCCAUCCUUUGGUCUCUUGGCUCCUUGUGUUCCUUGGGUUUUCGAUUACUUUGUUUCUUUACAUACUUGCCACCAAGUAUGUAAGGUUCUCCUUGUUACUUUGCAUACCUACUCUAAGUAUGCGAAUUACGUUCAUCGCCUUUUGACACCUCUAAUUCUAGUAAAGAUAUGGGUUAACCUCAUUAAAAUUGCUCCACUUUUGAUUAUCUCCAUUUAUGCUCAAUGUGAGUAUGGAUGUCUUUGUCACCCUUCAUGGUAUAAUGGCAACUUUUGGGCUAUUAUACUUCUUAGUUCACACAUAAACUUUAGGUUGGGAAAACCCUCAAGGUUUUACCUUGUUGUAAAAGUUUUUGAUAAAACCUUGGGCAUGAUGUUUUCCCCAAGUGAGGAUUUAUGAAAGGAAAGGAUUUGGUAAAAAUGAUGAGGAUGUGAAAAAGGUUGGGUUUUAUGAAAACUUUGGCGCCUAAGUACUCACCCAUGACAAUUAACUAGCGCAACCACAAUAUCCAAAGUGGGCACGGGCUUAGUCCGUAGUUUGUUGAAUUUGACAUGAGAUACCUUCACCACUCUCUAGGAGGGUCACGAUGACCUCUGACACCGGGUUGCGCUCUGAAGGAGGCAAUA